CUCGUACAGAAGAAAUGGAAUCCUACCACUCUGUAACUUGCAUUUACCCCCACUUCAUGCACACUUGUCAAGCAGAGAAAUGGGGCUUGUUUCCCUGCUUAACUUAUAAGACUGUCGUGAGGACAGCACAAGGAACCGUGCUUGCACAACAUAAGCCAUGAGAAGUUAAGAUGCUGUUUUCUUUCUGGGAGAAAACUAACCUCUGUCGAGGACACACUUGACCCAUGUUUUGAAAGAAAAUUCUAAAUCACAGAGGAGGCUCACAUUCUGUUUCUCUUGGACUGUACCGGUUCAGAGCACGCCCAGCGACCUCCUGUAACCACCUCGACACUCUGGAAUAUGCAUUACGAGCUCUGAUUAGCUCUGAACUGACUUUCACAGCCUGGACACAACACAGUGAGGGGCUCACCUUCGACAGGAUCCGUGAAAGCAGAUCGGAAGCUGCUAAGAUAAAAGGUUGUGGUCAGAACUCGGGCCAUAGCCUCAGCUCAGUCCAGAAAGACAAAGAUAGAAUGAACUCGUGAUGUCAUCCUUCUGGGUAGAAGUAAAACAAAGCUCCUGAGAUUAGAAAUGUCAGUGUGGAUCCUGUGGGAUGCAGAUGCUGAGUGACGAGCUUGGA